rnacentral:rRNA from 1 species
UACGUAGGUGGCAAGCGUUGUCCGGAUUUAUUGGGUUUAAAGGGUGCGUAGGCGGCUUAUUAAGUCAGGGGUGAAAGACGGUGGCUCAACCAUCGCAGUGCCUUUGAUACUGAUGAGCUUGAAUACACUUGAGGUAGGCGGAAUGUGACAAGUAGCGGUGAAAUGCAUAGAUAUGUCACAGAACACCAAUUGCGAAGGCAGCUUACUAAGGUGCAAUUGACGCUGAGGCAACGAAAGCUGGGGAUCAAACAGG